rnacentral:rRNA from 1 species
CCUACGGGAGGCUGCAGUGGGGGAUAUUGGACAAUGGGGGGGAACCCUGAUCCAGCGACGCCGCGUGAGUGAAGAAGUAUUUCGGUAUGUAAAGCUCUGUCAGCAGGGAAGAAAGCAAUGACGGUACCUGACCAACAAGCCUCGGCUAACUACGUGCCAACAGGCGCGGUAAUACGUAGGGGGCAAGCGUUAUCCGGAAUUACUGGGUGUAAAGGGAGCGUAGACGGGUGUGCAAGGCUGGAGUGAAAGACGGGGGCCCAACCCCCGUACUGCCCUGGAAACUGUAUGGCUGGAGUGCAGGAGAGGUAAGCGGAAUUCGUGGUGUAGCGGUGAAAUGCGUAGAUAUUAGGAGGAACACCAGUUGCGAAGGCAGCUUACUGGACUGUAACUGACGUUGAGGCUCGAAAGCGUGGGGAGCGAACAGGAUUAGAUACCCCAGUAGUC